GGAUUGGGAGGGUUCUACGGAACCCGUUUGGUGAAUCUAGUGCCGAGAAAAGCCUUCUAUGUGUUGAAUUUCUAGUACCCGUACCCCAAACCGACACAGGUGGGUGGGUAGAGCAUACCUAGGGGCGCGUGAUAACUCUCUCUAAGGAACUCGGCAAAAUGGCCCUGUAACUUCGGGAUAAGGGGUGCCUGCGUGAGCAGGCCGCAGUGAAAUGGCUCUGGCGACUGUUUACCAAAAACACAGGUCUCUGCUAAGUCGUAAGACGAUGUAUAGGGGCUGACUCCUGCCCAGUGCCGGAAGGUUAAGGAAGUUGGUUAGCGCAAGCGAAGCUGGCGACCGAAGCCCCGGUGAACGGCGGCCGUAACAAUAACGGUCCUAAGGUAGCGAAAUUCCUUGUCGGGUAAGUUCCGACCCGCACGAAAGGAGUAACGAUCAGAGCGCUGUCUCGGAGAGAGACACGGCGAAAUAGGAUUGUCCGUGAAGAUACGGACUACCUGCACCCGGACAGAAAGACCCUAUGAAGCUUUACUGUAACUUGGAAUUGUGUUCGGACUUUGUCUGCGCAGAAUAGGUGGGAGGCUAUGAAACGUUCCUCGCGGGGAACUGGAGCCAUCGUUGAGAUACCACUCUGGCAGAGUCUGGAUUCUAACCUACGGGGACAGUUCCAGGUGGGCAGUUUGACUGGGGCGGUCGCCUCCUAAAAUGUAACGGAGGCGCGCAAAGGUUCCCUCAGGCUGGUUGGAAAUCAGCCAUAGAGUGUAAAAGCAUAAGGGAGCUUGACUGUGAGACCUACAAGUCGAGCAGGGACGAAAGUCGGCUUUAGUGAUCCGACGGCACUGAGUGGAAGGGCCGUCGUUCAACGGAUAAAAGUUACUCUAGGGAUAACAGGCUGAUCUCCCCCAAGAGUUCACAUCGACGGGGAGGUUUGGCACCUCGAUGUCGGCUCGUCGCAACCUGGGGCGGUAGUACGUCCCAAGGGUUGGGCUGUUCGCCCAUUAAAGCGGCACGUGAGCUGGGUUCAGAACGUCGUGAGACAGUUCGGUCCAUAUCCGGUGUAGGCGUAGGAGCAUUGAAAGGAUCUCUCCUUAGUACGAGAGGACCGGGAGGGACGUACCUCUGGUGUACCUGUUAUCGUGCCAACGGUAAACGCAGGGUAGCCAUGUACGGAGUGGAUAACCGCUGAAAGCAUCUAAGUGGGAAGCCCACCUUAAGAUGAGUGCUCCCUUGAGGCCACGGGAAGACGACCCGUUUGAUAGGCGCUAGGUGGAAGUGCAGUAAUGCAUGCAGCCGAGGCGUACUAAUAGGCCGAUGGC
rnacentral:rRNA from 1 species